rnacentral:sRNA from 1 species
ACCCUAACCCUUUUUGGGAACAAAGAAGGUAUGGGAUAAAAAACCUACCACAGGGGCAUACAGCUCCUCGUCAGAGCAACCUGUGGUAGGUCAAUGUCUGAAAGGGCAUUGGGUAGCCCGAGAGGGCUAUC